rnacentral:rRNA from 1 species
GGGAAAUAUGGUUGCAAAGCUGAAAUUUAAAGGAAUUGACAGAAGGGCACCACCAGGAGCGGAGCCUGCGACUUACUUUGACUCAACACAGGAAAACUUACCCGGCCCGGACACUGGGAGGAUUGACAGAUUGAGAGCUCUUUCUUGAUUCGGUGGAUGGUGGUGCAUGGCCGUUCUUAGUUGGUGGAGCGAUUUGUCUGGUUAAUUCCGAUAACGAACGAGACUCUAGCCUAUUAAAUAUGUGCGGGGUUCCCAGCACCUUACAACCUUCUUAGAGGGACAAGCGGCUCCUAGCCGCACAAAACAGAGCAAUAACAGGUCUUAUGAUGCUCUUAGAUGUCCGGGACCGCAUGCGGGCUACACUGAAGGAGGCAGAGUGAUUUAUUCCCUGUCUGAAAAGACUGGGUGACCCCUGGGCCUUCCUUCGUGAUUGGGAUAGGGGCUUGAAAUUGUUCUUCUGAAAAAGGAAUUCCCAGUAAGCGCGAGUCAUAAGCUCGCGCUGAUUACGUCCCUGCCCCUCCCUCUUUUACA